AAGACUGUCAUAUUACUCUGCAUUGUGCUCUUUACAUAUCUUCUGAUCUCCACUGAAGUGGAUGCGAAAAAAAAGAGAUGUAGGUGUAGCUGUGGUGGCCCGUAUGGACUUGGUUGUGGGUGUAGAUGUACAUUCAAGAAGAGAAAUGCUGAAGAAAUCGCAAAGAGAUUUCCUCAAGCAGAUGACAAUUCACAGCUGGAAGAUUUGAAUGCAGACAUAUUGAGAGAUUAAGAUAAAAGAGGUGUUUGUCGAUAAAAUUAACUUUUCUGAUAAGUAAAAUUUUGAUUGCAG